rnacentral:snoRNA from 1 species
AUUCCGUGAUGAGGGCACUCCCUUUGGUAUUCCUUAAAUCGAUCCCAAGACUCAAAUAGGGAUUCAUCACGCUCUUUCUCGAAUGAUUGAAUUUUGUGCCGAUUCU